ensembl:snRNA U6 U6 spliceosomal RNA
GUGCUCACUUCGGCAGCACAUAUACUAAAAUUGGAACGAUACAGAAAAGGUUAGCAUGGCCCCUGCGCAAGGAUGACAUGUAAAUUUGUGAAGCAUUCCAUAUUUUU